GUUUGUGACGGACAGUAAAAUAUGGGCCAAACUUUUAGCUUGUGGAUGACGUUCUGGACUUCACAUCCUGUGCAAACCGCCCAGGGAAGCCGUCAGCUACCGAUCUCAAACUGGGUCUGGCGUUCUGUUUGCUUGCCAACAGCCAUAAACUUAAUUGUAAACCAGUUUCCUGAGCUGCAUGCAAUGAUAAUGAUGAGGCCCUUCAGCUCUGAUGGAGAUGUGGAUCGGGCCUGGCAAUAUGUCCUGAAGGUGACAUGUUACAGGUGAAUCUCAUGAAACCAUGUCCUGGGGCUGCUUUCAUAGAACACCAAGACUAGUCUUACAAGCGUGUCAUUCAUUUUUUUUUUCUUUAAGACUUUUCAUACAAGUCUGUUACAUAAAACGUAGACUUGUCUACUUUGAUACCAAAAAGUAAGUCUCAAUUUGCCCUAACUAACUGAUAGUUGGUUUACUAGUUCUUAAAGGGGUGGUAAAAUGCCAUUUUCACAAGAUGUAAAAUAAA